AUUGAACGCUGGCGGCAGGCCUAACACAUGCAAGUCGAGCGAGCGGAGGACGGGUGAGUAAUGUCUGGGAAACUGCCUGAUGGAGGGGGAUAACUACUGGAAACGGUAGCUAAUACCGCAUACCAUCAGAUGUGCCCAGAUGGGAUUAGCUGGUAGGUUGGGUAACGGCUCGCCUAGGCGACGAUCCCUAGAUGGUCUGAGAGGAUGACCCGCCACACUGGAACUGAGACACGUUCCAGCCUCCUACGGGAGGCAGCAGGGGGGAAUAUUGCACAAUGGGCGCAAGCCUGAUGCAGCCAUGCCGCGUGUGUGAAGAGGGCCUUCGGGUUGUAAAGCACUGGCAGCGUGGAGGCGUUACCCGCAGAAGAAGCACCGGCUAACUCCGUGCCAGCAGCCGCGGUAAUUC
rnacentral:rRNA from 1 species